GUCAAACUAACCAGCCAAGUAAAAGGCAUUUUGUAUAUUAAAAAAAAAAUAAUCAGACUUUCCCUCUCCAUUCUGUGGAUGCUGAUUGUUCUCUGAGCUGUCAGCUAGAAAACUUGGCAUUGUAGGUAGCUGUGCAAAGAGAAAACAUUUAAAUAAGAUCAGUCUACUUAGUUAAGAGAGAAGCAGCUAAAACCAAAAUUCCAUUGUGCCAAACCAUAGCUACGUACUGUCUUAUUAACAGUAGAAAAAAAUGCUCACAUUACUGUUAUGAAAAUGGUUAAGAGCAUGUUAGGCUAAGAUUUCAGUGCAUCACAGAGCCAAGGGGAUGAUCCCUGUAACGUAAGGUCAUCUUCGAAGGUGAGAUGACAGGUGUACAGAGAGGAAUCGAGGAGCAAUGGGAAAUGGGGCAAAACAGCAAAGUUUCUGACCCCAAUUGAGAUGAUGGCAAAGCAAGACCAUGAAUGUUAAAUUUAAAAUAGUUCUGUUAUGUUUAACACAGAAGAGAGGCACAGUGAUCAGUGAUUCGAUCAAAGUAGAGCUAAGAAAAUUAUCUUUGUGUUGGCACUCUGUGUGAAUGUAUACUGAGGGCAGUAUUCUCCAGUGAGAGUGUUUUGAAGUAUCCCAGUUUCUGAUACAGCUUCAGUCUGUACAGUCCUGGGUCAUCAGACGCACUGGUUAGAAGAUCUGAAUGGCCAAACCAAACCUUUCCUCUCAGGCCCAUUUCUUAGGCUGAUACACAUUUGUCUGUGCUCCUGUGCAUGAUCCAGCAAUUGUAAUGUAGGUGAAGUGUCCAUUAACUUGCAUUUGUGUUUUACCUGAAGAACGAUUGGGCCUUGAAUUUUCAUUCCUCGAAGCAGCCAACAGAACAUUUUAUUUGUUUCUCCUGCCAGGCCUGUUGUCAUUGCAGGAGAUUUCCCCCUCUACCCAUUGUGUUUAUCUUGCCAGUAGUAGCUUUUAAUUAUUACCCUGCUGAUCUGCAGAGUUGAUCGGAGGAUGCCAAAUGAUGAAGUGAAUGGAAAAAGUCAUGGCUUGUGAAGGCCUUGUAAAACUUCUAGCCAUUCUCAAACCUCAAAAUCAGAAGAAAACAUUAUGGCUCAGAUUAUCCUUUUUGAAACCUUACAGCACUUGGGAAAUAAAUUACAGGAAAUACUAAAAUGAAAAAGUAGCUUUUAGGCAGUGUUGUAACCUUAUGUUUAAUUUCAACACUUUUUAUGGUCCUAACUUUUAAAUUAUUCUUUUCCUUUCAUGUGAACAAUUCAAAGAGCCAAACAAGAUGUGUAGAAUGUUUUCUUUUGCUGAACCUAAUUUUCUUCUAGAAAAGUUUUGGAGUUCUACAUAAGAAAAUGUUUAAUGAGUGCUACAUGCUUUUCAAGAAUUUUUAGGAGAACACAAGUCUUGUUCUAAACCAAAUGAUGAUCAGUUGGACUGAAUUUCAGAGAUAAUUACAAAAUUCUCAGUACAGAUUUAUAAAUGCCUUUUAAUUGGCAUAGCUUUGUCAUUUCUUCCUUGUGUUGAUACGUAACUCAAAUUUGGUGUCAUGAGAUAAAGCUUAAAAGAAAAUAAUGAAUUUUAGCUGUAGCGCUGAUUUAGAUCUGUAGCUGGUAUUGCGGUAUUGAUUUAAUGGUGCUCCUGGAAGGAAAAAUAAAUUAUUGCCAGUGAAUAAUCUGUAACUAUAGGGGAAAUAUUUAUGCCUUUAGGUAACAGAAUAGUGACCGUAUGUAUGUUAUAAUACUUAAUCUGUGUUGAUCUUUCAGCACAUGUAAUGUUCAGCCUUUGGAUGAGCAUUUUGUACUAAUAAUUACACACUUAGCUUCUCCUUGAUUUCCUCAUUGAAAUGAUGAAAUAUUCAAAUAGUCAUGCUCCUUAUUAAACUGUAAUGAUCAGUGGCCGGGGUGUAGUGAAACAUGGAGAUUAAGAAAUGCUCAUUUUAACACCUUCCCUCAAAUUCUAGAUGCAUGUAUUUGGAGAGGGAAAAAAAGCAAACAAACAACAAACAAAACCCCAGCACAGUGGGCUGCUAACCAUAUGAAGCUUCAUUUUCAAAAGUCUCAGUAUAUGAGCGCUGACUAUUCCCUUUAAAAAUCAGGGUCAGUGUACCACCAAAGUCAUCAGUAAUAUCAUUUCAGUAACACUUCCAUGUUUGUAUAACUUAUGUUGGUAAAACAUGGCAAAUAAUCUGCAAAGUGUCACCAGAUAGAGCAACUUUGUCAUGUUUUUUAAAAUAUCAGCAGUGAUUUUACAGUAACUUCUCAUUUUAUUGGUUUUGUACACGUUUCUAGUUGCUUUGUUUUUCCACUCAUUUCAGGGUGUUGGAUAUAUUUCAUAAUAUUAAAGUAAUUCAAAAGUUUUCAUGAAUUAUAAGUGAUUUGUACUGCUAAACUGGUACAAACAACAACUAUAACUAGCUGCCAUAUUUUUACUUAUGUUAUAACAUGUUGGAAUAUUAAAGGAAAAAAUACUUUGAAGAGCACUUACAAAGGUUUUAAGUAGGGGAGCAUGCAUGUGGUAAAUUGUAGUAUUCUGUUUUGUGUAAUGCCUUUACAUAUUUUUCUCUUGUACAAUUGUAACAGAAUUAAAGCCACUAGCAUUACUUUA